UGGGGAAUAUUGGACAAUGGGCGAAAGCCUGAUCCAGCCAUGCCGCGUGUGUGAAGAAGUUCUUCGGAUUGUAAAGCACUUUAAGUUGGGAGGAAGGGCAGUAAGCGAAUACCUUGCUGUUUUGACGUUACCGACAGAAUAAGCACCGGCUAACUCUGUGCCAGCAGCCGCGGUAAUACAGAGGGUGCAAGCGUUAAUCGGAAUUACUGGGCGUAAAGCGCGCGUAGGUGGUUCGUUAAGUUGAAUGUGAAAGCCCCGGGCUCAACCUGGGAACUGCAUCCAAAACUGGCGAGCUAGAGUAGGGCAGAGGGUGGUGGAAUUUCCUGUGUAGCGGUGAAAUGCGUAGAUAUAGGAAGGAACACCAGUGGCGAAGGCGACCACCUGGGCUCAUACUGACACUGAGGUGCGAAAGCGUGGGGAGCAAACAGG
rnacentral:rRNA from 1 species